rnacentral:rRNA from 1 species
GCUUACGGCCAUACCAGCCCAAGAAAACCCGGUCUUGUCUGAUCUCGGAAGCUAAGAAGGCUUGGGCCGGUUUAGUACUUGGAUGGGAGACCUCCUGGGAAUACCAGGUGCUGUUAGCU